GCUGCCAGCAAUGCCUCUCCCUGGCAGGGCAGAGCAGAGCAAAGCCCUGGGAUCAGCUCGGUGGCCUUCCACUGCGGUUGUUUAUCACCUAAGGGGGCUAGCAGCACCACCACCGCAGUAAUUAGGCACACUUCAUCACAGUGUGAUGCCUUUGCAGUGUCAUCUCCCACCAGCUAAGAGCAGCACCGCCUGGAGACAUGGCAAGAGAGAGAUGGAGAGGGCUGGGUGGGCUCAGCAUGCCCACGGGCAGAGCAGAAAUGGAGGCCCCUGGAGCAGGGGCCAGGGUGCUCAGCAGCUGGAGGUGUCCUGCUCGUGGUGCUGCUAGAGCUGCAGAGACACCAGAGUUACACUCCUCCAGUGACAAAAGUAGGGGGGAAUGGUGAUAUUUGCCUCUAAGAUGAUGAUUCAGCUUGAAAGCUGGAAUUUCUUUAACAUACACGGCAAAUGCUUCCCCACAAUCAGUAUGUCUGGUCUGUUGUGUUCUCUGUCAGCUGGGAGGCAAGCUUUGCAGAGCUGAGCUGCUUUACUUUCCUUUUGAGAAUGAAAGUAGCACUGCUGUCAGAAGAUUAAGCUGUUGGUGUGUAUCAGGUGAUAGGAAAAAUGACCCUGAAACUGCAAAAGGCCUGAUGCUUUGUAUCCUUGGGAGCUGCAAGCGUUGCUUUGCUGUUUAUCUGUUUGCCAUACUGAUAGCUUAAAAACACAUAUUACACUCCGAGUAACAACUCCAAGGGGUAAGGCUGCUGUUACUACUUGGUUCCUCCUAAAGAUUAAACAGAGCUAGGAGCUGAUACAUUGACCUAUUGCUUCUCAAAGCAGAUCUCUGUUCGAAUUCUGACCUACGUCCCAGCUACAAAUGUGCUCAAUCUUUCCUUAAUUUGUAAUAGAUACUUGUGUGCAUUUCAAAACCAUCUCGCAAUUUGGCAAAUUAAGUUGUCUGUGGUUAGCUCUGGAAUUGCAGAGAUAUUGCAGUGCACUGCAGCAUUGCAUAACGAGCUUCCCCAGAUUUUGCCUUACUCGAGUGAGUAACAGUAAUCCUUAUCUCGAGCGAGCAUCAGAUUCAUCCCAUUUUUGAGAAAAGAAUUAGUAUCAAAUAUACGAUAGGCAUGUUAUGCCUUGUGGCUGCAAUGUUUUUUCAAUUAACUUCUCUGAAUAUACCACAAUGAAAAGUGUCAGCUUUUUGCCUCAGAGGCCUAUAAUUAGAUGAAAUGAAUACAGUUAAUUAUCUACUACCUUCUUUACACAAAACAAUAUGUUUCCAUAAAUUAAAAUGCUGGUACACGAAGGAAAUUGUUGUUCACUCCAAUAUAGGCAUGCAGUGCUUGGAUUGUGAAUGCUGUGAAUAUAUGACAGGGUAGCACAGCUUUUUUUGUCUGCAGCCCUUAUUUUACAAGAGCUAAACCAAAUUACAUCUGAGAAAUCCACAGGCAUCACACUAUUUAGAGCAUAUAUGUUGAAGCAAGGAGGUGGUAUCAUUAAAAGUUACAGCGCUCAUGAAACAAAUACACUUUUCUCUUUCACUGAUGUUCUCUAUAAAAUUCCCUGAGAGAGAUUAAAUACAGCUUUAUUUGCACACACCUACAGUCACACCCUCGAGAACUAUGGUGUGUCCAGAUAUAAAGCUGCUUUUUUCUAGCAGAGUGGACUUCUCCUUUCAGAAAUUAAUAAGAAAUAAUCCAUUUUGUAGGACGCAUUCACAGUUAACAGCUCGGUUUCCAGGCCUGCUGCUCUUCCAGCCAGCAUGGACUGAAAAUCCCCUCUGCCUGCUCUCCAGCGUUACUAAAUAGAAGCAAAAGUUCAUGACCGAUCAAUAUGCUCCUGUCCUGGCAUGCCGGAUUGGGAAGUGCAGCUAUUCAAGCGGUGGCACAUCACCUCGGUGGCAACAUACCUAAAGCAGAAAGCACUCCCCUGGGUUUGACAAAGUGUACCCAAAUGUCCCUAUUUCCAUCAGAAUAGAUGUUAAUAACUUAAGGCCUAAACAUGUGAUCCUCCCUCACCAGAAAAUGACAGUUAACUUUAGCAGAAGCCCUCAUUCCAGCCUGCACUAUACUCUGCGUGUAAAUGUGAUGUGUACCCAGAAUUGCUCUUGUAGGGUCAAACCCUAAAAGCUUCCGAACACUCAGCAUUUCUAUAGGGCAUCACAUUUUACUGUGGUCUGGGCUGGGUGAGUAUCUUUUCCUUUAAACAUUCAUUAGCUCCGUGGAUGAAAGUGUUCAUUAAAAUAUCACUGUGUUGAUCUUAAUAUUGAGGAGUGACAGGGCUGCUUUGCCAUAUAAAUGCUGCCCCGUUUUCUGCUCUCAGGGUGUAACAGGAGAAAGAAAGACCAUUUUGAUAGGCACUAUCUGCUGAAGGAAAACUUCACCAGGAGCUCUGCAUUGACUUUAACCUUUUAGUGGCCGCACUGAAAAGCAGAAUGGUUCAUGCUUCCCACACAGAAUGAAGCUGGUUUGUUUAAAAUACUCAUAAAUACCAGCAGCCCUCCUAAUUGCUUCUGCAAAUAUCAGAAAGCAGUUACAGAGGCAUAAAGAAAUGCGACUGGAAACAUGGUUCAGUGGUCUUGUACUUCCCUGAAAAGCUGAUUUUGGCUGAUUCAGUUGCUUUCAGAGGGAAUUUACCCUUUUUGGCAGUCUGAGUUUCAGCAGUGCUGAUUGGACUGACGGCCGAAAAUGCAUCUGGGGCUGAGGAAAUGAACCCGGGGUCUUUGUAUGUGUCUCAGGCUGAAUUUUGCCUGCGAGCUCUGGGUUUUGUCUUUUAGCCCCUCAGUGUCCCUGGCUGUGUGGGAUUCAGAACCCAUUUUAACUCUCCUUUCAACCCCGAGACGUUCCAUCUAUGCUUUUGCAGGUGCCUUGCCCAAUUCCCUGCUUUCCCUGCCUGAUUUAGGAUAAGCACUAAUGAAAGGUCAAGGUUAUUCUGAAGUAUCCAACCCAGGAGAGUUCUCUCCCUCGUCAUUCCUUAAGAUGAACUUCGCACAACUACAACCGAUACCGUGCUGAAAGGAUCUCUUUGCAGGAUCUGGCCCUUUCCCAAAGGAAUUCCACAGCCCCCGCCGUUGUUCCGAGGGUGAUUCAGAAACAAAGGUCAAGUGCAACGGCUUUGCUCAUCCGUGGAACAGAAAUAGGGGAGAAGGCUCUUUCCCCACAGCUCUGUGCUCCCGCAGCCCGCUCAGGGUGAAUCCUGGUACAGCGACAGCUCCUGCUCCAUUUCUUCCCAUGUUUCUGUGCUUGCUGUAUUUAUUUCUAUGUAUCCACCUCACCUCGAUCCUAUAUUGGUCACUGCCUCUCCCUGGGCUAUUGCAGGACAAUCUCUGCUCCUGCCUGGCAAACUCGCUCUUCGUUUGGCUCAUGUCUCAAUAAAAGCCUUCGGAAGGAUUUCGUUCCACCCCACACACUGCAGGUUCGUAUCCUGUUAUCUUCCCAAAGAGGCGAGUUUGUGAACCUGGACCCUCUGAUGUUGCCAGGCUACUUGGGAAAAAUCACACCAGCGACUUCUGCAACCACAUCCGACACCAGAAUCCUUGUGCGGUGCCAGGAUUCCCUGUCAAUGAGACUCGCUUUACGUUAUUUUCUCCUCGCUCAGGAAACGUAAAGACUUUUCCCUGGUUUUACUGACCUUCUCCCUGGUUUUAGCUGACCCAGCCCUAGCAACAAGGCGCCUUGUAUAACCUGCAGACCCCAUAAGGUGCAUGUAACCCACCACCUGAUUCCUCCCUUGGUUUCCCAGAGGCUUCCUGUAGUAACCAUGAACUUCUUGGGGCAAUUUUCGCAUUUCAAAAUAUCUCAGUAGGAAUUUCAAUUUACAAUAUUCUUUCCGAGAAAUGGAGUAGUUUACAGGGAAAACGCAACAGAGAAAGGAAAUAAACCCUACCUUUAAACCGG